UUCAUUGUAACCACACAAAAAGUGUAUUUUAGGUCAACAACAACGCGAAAAGCACCUAUGAAAUGCCAUUUUAUUUUUGGUAAACAUGUUUAUGAACCAAUUUUUAAGCAUAUUAUCGCACUUUUUGGGAUGUUUUACUUUUCAGAAUUCAUUUCUAAGUUCUAACUUGGUAUGUAAAAUUGAGGUAAAGGGUCUGUAAUAUUUACUCAUGCAUUAUUUAUUUAUAUUAAGGGUGCCUUUGUUUCCAGGAUUCCAAAUUCUUUCCGAGAAAAUCUAUUCCUAGGAUUAUAAUGGCAGACAUUUUAUUCGCAUGUAUUUGUAAAAAAAAAGUGUUUAGUUAGUGUU
rnacentral:lncRNA from 1 species